GUAGGUGAUUCUUGGCCGUUAUC
rnacentral:miRNA from 1 species